rnacentral:rRNA from 1 species
UGCAUGGCUGUCGUCAGCUCGUGUCGUGAGAUGUUGGGUUAAGUCCCGCAACGAGCGCAACCCACGUCCUUAGUUGCCAUCAUUCAGUUGGGCACUCUAGGGAGACUGCCGGUGAUAAGCCGCGAGGAAGGUGUGGAUGACGUCAAGUCCUCAUGGCCCUUACGGGAUGGGCUACACACGUGCUACAAUGGCGGUGACAGUGGGACGCGAAACCGCGAGGUUGAGCAAAUCCCCAAAAACCGUCUCAGUUCAGAUUGCACUCUGCAACUCGAGUGCAUGAAGGCGGAAUCGCUAGUAAUCGUGGAUCAGCAUGCCACGGUGAAUACGUUCCCGGGCCUUGUACACACCGCCCGUCACACCAUGGGAGUUGGUCUUACCCGACGGCGCUGCGCCAACCGCAAGGAGGCAGGCGACCACGGUAGGGUCAGCGACUGG